CAAGUCUAAAAGAAAAUGUUUGCUAGCAAAAUGUCAACAAUCUUUAUGGAAAGUUCUGCACUCUUUCUGCUCCUCUUUUGGACCUCCUGCCAGGCACAAAUGCACGUGGAAGAAGCUGAGCACACUGCAGAAGACAAAAGGGAUGUCUUUUGAGGCCUACCAAGAGGAAGAAGGCUCGUAAAACUCCACCGGGACUUCAAAGCGGACAGAUGGCAGGAUCUUCUCAAACUUCCCAGAGGAACUCUUUUUGAAGUAUUUCACGAACUGUCUUUGAAGUAUUUGGUAACCGAAGGCAACGCGGUUUACGACCCGCUUCCCUCUGGAAGCAGCUGUGGGCAGGUGGGGGGAGGAAAGUCAAAUAAAGAAGCAGGAGUGCAAU